UAACGUGACUGGAAAACGUAUUGACAUCACUGAUACUACAAUAUCUAUAUUACUUCUUUUAAAUGUACGAAGAUGUUUCCUUCUUUUUACUUUACCCAAAUGUCCCCAGCACUUGCAACUAAUACCAAUCCUGUUCUACCCCUCGUUCCAACCGACACAAUACAACCCAACACUUGCAACUAUAAGAGUUUCCCGCUAUUGGAAAGCGGCAGCCCACGGGCAGUUUCCUCCUAGCGAAACGCUGCACCUGAAGCGGCGGCAUGUAAACGCAAAAGAUGUGUCUUCUACAAACAAAUGGUUCCCCCAAACUAUUUCUCUGAUUCUCUCCAACCGCUUCAAUGCACAUUCCCUGACUCCCUUCCAUCUUCAUCUCCAACCUUUGAUGUCCGACUAUUACAAAGACCCUAACCCGCCGACAUCCGGCGAACACUAACCCGCCGAACGACAUUCCCCAGCACUGACCCGGGAACCGUACUCACUGCCUAUGUUCCCGCUGCCAAAAAAAAAGUGCUUAGUGAUGGCAUAGGUGUAUUGAUGCCAAAUAACCUUCUUACAUGUUCUUCAAAGAAUGUGCUACCAGUCUUACUUUCUUUUGGACAAGUCAUGCACCUUGCAAUAUCUAAAAUUGAAUGUGGUUUCAUAUGAUCGUGGAUAUGCUAAGAGCCUGAGGAGGAAAAGAACAAAUGACAGGAGCACCCCAAAAAGAUAAUUUAUCUUUGCUCACUGCAUAAUAUUCUUGUAUUUUCGUUUUUCUUUCUCCUUUCUAAACCCUGCACAACUUGCUUUUACAUCUGAAAACAUUGUUCAAUCAUGUCAUUGAGAAGAACCUUUCUUCAUAUUUUGAGAUAGUGUAAAAUUACGUGAUUGGAUGUUAGGUUAGACAGGCUUCUAAUUUUAUUCCUUUGAAGAUAUUUUUUUUGCUAUUUUGGUCUAGUAUUUCCUCAACUCCAAGUGAAAUGAGCAUAUUACCUAACAUUUUUUUGUCUCAAAUUCACUUUUAUGGCAUGCCCUCAGGAUGCAUGUAUCUUUUGUUUACAUGAUAGGAUUUAGGAUAUUAGGUUAGAUAGGCCUUUCAUUUGUUCCUUUAAAGAUAUCUUCUUAGUCUGAGUGUUUCCUCAACUCCAUGUAAAAUAAAAUACUUGCACCUUUUUUGGCACGCCCUAAGGAUUUAUUUUUCUUUACGUGUAUAACCAGUAUCCUACUUAAGCCCAUUGUUACACACUGGUAUGGCAUACUCAUGAUGUACUUUGCAAGAGAUUGAAAACCUAUAUUACUCUUCUAUUACUAACAUAUCAGUAUAAAGUGAAAGCAUAAAUUAAGAGUAUCUCCAACCUUACCUUCAAAUUUGGAGACAUCAAAUGAUUUUGAAGGCUUGCUCGCCAAAUUGACAUUUCGAAAUUUAACAUGUACAAAUUCUCCCUCUCCAACCAUAGCUUCAAAUUGGAGUUGUCAUUAUGUUUUUUGGAUGAUUUUGUUUUCAAAUGGUUAUUUUUCCGAACAAAAAAUAUUUGACAUUGCCUUCAAAACUGGCAUUAGUGAAGGCCAAAUCAACGUAUAGUUUGGCCUUUUCAAGUGGCAGCUGGUGUUGGCUUCAAAAGUGACCAUUACUUUCCACGUGGAAUUUGAAGACCCCCAAUGUGAUAUUCUGUAUGGAAGUGGAACAAAAAUGUUCUAACGUACUCUUAAAGGCAGCAAGGAGAGAGUUAAUGGUUACGACAGGUGUUGUGCAUUUGGGAAGGUGCAAAGGCUAACAGAGAUUUUGAUGGCUACUAAUUUUGCAUAACUUUUGUCAUAUUGAGAAAAUAGCUCAUUAGUUUGGAAUCAAUUUCUUAUCCUUGUAAGGUUCUAAUUGUGGUAACUGACUUGUACAGCAAUAGACAUGUUGUCACAAGACAUAUAUUUUCUCUGGAUUAAGAACAUUGGAUUCAUGUAUAAAGUAAACGAAGAAGCCAGCCUUUAUAGAAUUACAAAAAACAAGCCCGCAUUUAACAAAUAGCCCAAUAUCUUCCCUACCCCCAAGACAAAUUGAAACACGGUAUUGUGCAAGUUUUUGAUUGCCAGACACAUGCAAACAUCAUCUAAUUGUGCCUCAUCCACGCUACAUUCCACGUGCAACGCACGUGUACAUCAACUAGUA